rnacentral:rRNA from 1 species
GAGUUUGAUCAUGGCUCAGGAUGAACGCUGGCGGCGUGCUUAACACAUGCAAGUCGAACGGGAAACCUUUUAAUGAAGUUUCGGCAGAUUUAGCUGGUUUCUAGUGGCGGACGGGUGAGUAACGCGUGGGUAACCUGCCUUAUACAGGGGGAUAACAGUCAGAAAUGACUGCUAAUACCGCAUAAGCGCACAGGACCGCAUGGUCCGGUGUGAAAAACUCCGGUGGUAUAAGAUGGACCCGCGUUGGAUUAGCUUGUUGGUGAGGUAACGGCUCACCAAGGCGACGAUCCAUAGCCGGCCUGAGAGGGUGAACGGCCACAUUGGGACUGAGACACGGCCCAGACUCCUACGGGAGGCAGCAGUGGGGAAUAUUGCACAAUGGGGGAAACCCUGAUGCAGCGACGCCGCGUGAGUGAAGAAGUAUCUCGGUAU